AACGAACGCUGGCGGCGUGCCUAACACAUGCAAGUCGAGCGCGAAAAGGGCAACCUGAGUAGAGCGGCGCACGGGUGCGUAACACGUGGGUAAUCUGCCUUAGAGUCGAGGAUAACCUUCCGAAAGGUUGGCUAAUACUCGGUAAGCUUACGGUGUCUUCGGACGCUGUGGGAAAAGUAGGCCUCUGUUUACAAGCUUACGCUCUGAGAUGAGCCCGCGGCCCAUCAGCUAGUUGGCGGUGUAACGGACCACCAAGGCAACGACGGGUAGCCGGUCUGAGAGGACGAUCAGCCACACUGGAACUGAGAAACGGUCCAGACUCCUACGGGAGGCAGCAGUGGGGAAUUUUCCACAAUGGGCGAAAGCCUGAUGGAGCAACGCCGCGUGUGUGAUGAAGGUUUUCGGAUCGUAAAGCACUUUCGACUGGGACGAAAAACCUUUGGCUAACAUCCAGGGGCCUGACGGUACCAGGAGAAGAAGCACCGGCUAACUCUGUGCCAGCCGCCGCAGUAAUAC
rnacentral:rRNA from 1 species